CUCUUGCUAGUGCGACUGUGCGAGAACUCCGAUGACUUCAAAUGAUUUGUUACCAGUAUUAUUUAAUCCUAGGAAGAAGAAAUCAAGUGGAAUACAAUUACUGCUUUUU